AAGACUAUACUUUCAGGGAUCAUUUCUAUAGUUUGUUACUAGAAUGUAAAUAAACUUAGUGAUGAAUUACUAUAAGC
rfam:Gorilla gorilla gorilla genomic chromosome, chr6, whole genome shotgun sequence